UACCGGGCGACCGGAUGCGGAUCUCGAAAGCCCGUCCCAGUUCGGACUGGAGUCUGCAACCCGACUCCACGAAGUUGGAUUCGCUAGUAAUCGCGCAUCAGCCAUGGCGCGGUGAAUACGUUCCCGGGCCUUGUACACACCGCCCGUCAAGCCAUGGGAGCCGGGGGCGCCUGAAGUCCGGGACCGCGAGGACCGGCCUAGGGCGAAACUGGUAACUGGGGCUAAGUCGUAACAAGGUAGC
rnacentral:rRNA from 1 species